CGCGUAGGCGGUCAGCACAAGUCAGUUGUGAAAUCUCCGAGCUUAACUCGGAAAGGUCAACUGAUACUGUGCGACUAGAGUGCAGAAGGGGCAACUGGAAUUCUCGGUGUAGCGGUGAAAUGCGUAGAUAUCGAGAGGAACACCUGCGGCGAAGGCGGGUUGCUGGGCUGACACUGAGCUGAGGCGCGAAAGCUAGGGGAGCGAACG
rnacentral:rRNA from 1 species